rnacentral:tRNA from 1 species
GCCGCCCUAGCUCAGAGGUAGAGCACAUCCAUGGUAAGGAUGGGGUCACGGGUUCAAUUCCCGUGGGCGGCUCCA